CACGUAGGAGGCAAACGUUAUCCGGAUUUACUGGGCGUAAAGCACGUGUAGGUGGUUCUGUAAGUAGGGCGUGAAAGCUCCCGGCUCAACUGGGAGAGGCCGUUCUAAACUGCAGAGCUAGAGGAUGGUAGAGGGAGGUGGAAUUCCAGGUGUAGCGGUGGAAUGCGCAGAUAUCUGGAGGAACACCAGUGGCGAAGGCGGCCUCCUGGACCAUUCCUGACACUCAGACGCGAAAGCUAGGGUAGCAAACGGGAUUAGAUACCCGGGUAGUCCCUGA
rnacentral:rRNA from 1 species